rnacentral:rRNA from 1 species
GAUGAACGCUGGCGGCGUGCCUAAUACAUGCAAGUCGAGCGAACGGACGAGAAGCUUGCUUUUCUGAUGUUAGCGGCGGACGGGUGAGUAACACGUGGAUAACCUACCUAUAAGACUGGGAUAACUUCGGGAAACCGGAGCUAAUACCGGAUAAUAUUUUUAACCGCAUGGUUCAAAAGUGAAAGACUGUCUUGCUUUCUCUUUUAGAUUGAUCCGCGCUGCAUUAGCUAGUUGGUAAGGUAACGGCUUACCAAGGCAACGAUGCAUAGCCGACCUGAGAGGGGGAGCGGCAAAACGGGAACUGAGACACGGUACAGAGUACUACGGGAGGCAGCAGUAGGGAAUCUUCCGCAAUGGGCGAAAGCCUGACGGAGCAACGCCGCGUGAGUGAUGAAGGUCUUCGGAUCGUAAAACUAUGUUAUUAGGGAAGAAAAUAUGUGUAAGUAACUGUGCACAUCUUGACGGUAACUAAUCAGAAAGCAACGGCUAACUACGUG